UUUUGUUUUUGAGAUAGAGUCUCACUCUGUUGCCCAGGCUGGAGUGCAGUAGUGUAAUCUUGGCUCACUGCAACCUCCGCCUCCUGGGUUUAAGCGAUUCUCGUGCCUCAGCCUCCUGAGUAGCUGGGAUUACAGGCGCUUGCCACCACACCCAGCUAAUUUUUGUAUUUUUAGUAGAGACGGGGUUUCACCAUGUUUGCCAGGCUGGUCUCGAACUCCUGACCUCAGGUGAUCUGCCCACCUUGGCCUCCUAAAGUGCUGGGAUUACAGGCAUGAGCCACUGCACCCAGUGGAGCCCAGGAAUUUGAGACCAGCUUGGUCUCUCAAAAAGUUUUAAAAUUAGCUGGGUAUGGUGGGAGCUACUUCCGGGGCUGGGGAGAAACGGGGAGGAUCACUUGAGCCCAGGAGUUCGAGGCUACAGUGAAUGAUGAUUGUGCCACUGCACUCCAGCCUGGGCGACAGAGCAAGACCCUGUCUCUAAAAAAAUAAGAAGGGCAUCAGCAAGAGGGCAACAGCAGAGCAUUAAACCAGGUGUGGGGCUCCUUGGAGUUUGAGACCCUGUGUGACUGGACGGGUCACAGUCCCAUGCCAUCAGCCUGAACACGUGCAUGUAAGAACACACUCUCCUCUCACUCACUCUCCACAGGGCUGCCCAGAGACCUCCCAGGAGGCACAGGCGUCGACUAUUCAAAGCAUUGUGGCUUCCAGUUCUGCACUGUGGUGAUGGAGGUCCCGGGGGUGGCCUACUAAAUACUAAAGUGGCACCGGUGCUGCGCUGGGAGGAGCUGAGAAGGCAGCCCUGGAUGGCUGGUGGAGGGGCUCUAAGCCCCAGCCCUGUUGCCCUCCCCACUUUGUCCUCACCCAGGGAGACACCUCUUGUUUGGGGUAAAGGUGGAUGAAGGAUCAAUUCUAUGACCAGAGCAGUGCCAGCCAGGAGAAGACUGCCCUGCCUCGCCGUGGGGGGGUCAGGUUAUGCUCCAGAGCAGCUUUCUGGCUUUUGGCUGAGCUGGUGCCCAAGAGGGACAGGAAGCCUCCUUUCUGGGGGGUGGGGGUUUAUGCCCAGAGAUGACCGGCUGGGAUGUGGGGUAGCUGGUGCCCAAACACAAACGCCUGUAGCUGGAGGCCCACAGUCAGGGCUGAGGGCUGCAGGAGUGGGAGCCGGCCUGCAGGCUCUGAGGUGGGGGUCCCGCCCAGGGACAUUCCUUCUUGGGGUGUGGGAUAAGUGCAGGGCCUGAGCUCUAAGCCUUAGUCAGGGGUGAGAAGGUGCUGGAAUCAAUUCUUCCUCUGGCCCAGACCCUGGAAGGGUUGACAAAUGUAGGUGGCAGUACCCAGGGUGAAUAGGCUGGCAGUGUGCAUGGGCAUGUGAGCAGUGUGCUUGGGCGCGGGCAUCAGGACAGGUGAGUCUGGGCCUCCUGUGUGCCAGCCGGCAGGAGUGGAAAGUGCUUUCGUCCUAGCACAGGUGUGUGAGCACAGGUCAUACUGUGUGAGUGGGGCCUGGUUACAGCUGCAGAGUUCUGAGAGUCAGCUGGCUUUGGGGACACUCUGCUUUGAGCCAGACGCACGCCAGGCCUCAGCCCAGGGGUUCAUCUAUGGGGCCCAGCAGGGGCUCAUUGGAGGGGAUCGUAUAAAGGUCCCUUUCCCUGGGGACUUCCCCUCAUCCUCCUUAGCCUACUUCCACCAGUCUCUGGCUUAUGGGGCAGGGCCAAGACACAAGGCUGGGCCUACUCACUCCUCUCCCAGCUCCUGUCCUCAAUGGCCUCCCACGGGGCAGAGCUGCCUCUCAGGCCAGCUCACGCCCUGACCCCCACUGGGAUGGUCGUUGGCCCUGCAUGGUGCUGCUUUCGGGUGCCCCUGGGCUGCCAAGACUCCUAUCCUAAGCCUGGCCUGACAACUCCAUGAUCAAGAAAGGCAUUGCAGGCCGGGCGCAGUGGCUCGUGCCUGUAAUCCCAGCAUUUUCGGAGGCUGUGGCGAGCGGAUUAUUUGAGGUCAGGCGUUCGAGACCAGCCUGGCCAACAUAGUGAGACCCCCAUCUCUACUAACAAUACAAAAAUUAGCCAGGCAUGGUGGUUGGCAUCUGUAAUCCCAGCUACUUGGGAGGCUGUGGCAGGAGAAUCGCUUGAACCCAGGAGGUGUAGGUUGCAGUGAGCUGAGAGUGCACCACUGUACUCCAACCUGUGCCACAGAGCAAGACUCUGGAAAAAAAAAAAAAAAAAAAAAAAAGGGCCCUGCAGCGCGACGGGCUUAACUCCUGGACUCACAGGUGGACUCCAUGUCCCAGCCUCCCCCACAGCGCCACAUGACCACAUGACUGCUGGGUGCUGGCCUCUGGAAUGUGGGCAGAAUGAGGUGCCACCCUGGGCCUGGUCCACAGAAAGCGGGGGGACACCUCCUGCCUGCACUCACUCCCUGGCUGCUGACUGGGUGCUGACACCCUAGGGCAACUGGGCAGGGUAGGGUCUCUGGGGCUGGGUCUCUGCAGGAGCGCCUGGAGCAGAGCCCCACGCCCACUGUCACCUCCUCCCGAGCUGAGGCCUACGUGAGAACGAACACGUCUCUGGAGUUCAGCACUGGGAUUUCGGGGUUUAUCUGUUACAACAGAUGGUGUCACCUCAACCAAUACAGGUUCUUGAUUGAAGUAAC
rnacentral:lncRNA from 10 species